CGCUUUCUCUCUCCCUCUCUUUUCGCGUUCCCUGUUUUUCUCUCCUUCCCUCUCUGGCGAGCCGCGAUUCUUUUGGAAGAGAUGUUGAAUUAUUUCGCAGGCAUUUCGAUACAACUGUGCCCUAGCCGCUUCUCUACGAUUGAUUGAUGAUAAUCUGUUUAUGUUGUGAGCAAUAUGUGAGAGGGGAAUGGUAACUGAACGAGUGUAGAUGCAGGUUUAAUCCAUGUUAAUUUAUGGGUGAAUGAUACGCUACACAUUCAAAUAGUAAGAGGCAGCUAGCUAGAAACGCAGCUUGAAGAAAGAGGCAGCUAUCUAGCAGAAUAGUAGGUCUUGAUUAUGAUAGGUGAAUGAUACACUACACAUUGUAAGUCUGUAACACAUAUUCAUAUAUAUAAAGUAGUAGUAGUAUCUAUGUAUGUAAGUAUGCAUGUAGAUUAAAUCUCAGCAGACAAAGCCUUUUCAUCUAA